CACUCCAAUGGCUUCUGCGGUAAGCUGUCCUCACUUUAUUCACAUGCUACUCAACCGGACGGAACUUACAUUCCCUCAGCUCUACAUUCAACACAAUAUCACCAUCGCGCAGACAGACUUAGUCAAGAUUGCUCUAUCCAAUAUGUCUGCAACCCUCAGUCAAUAUGUUACUGUGUUGAAGAAUCAGAGGAAAAGAGAAUAUGAUAGGCUGUGUGCCCCUGCCAAACGUAUACAGACAGAGUGUCAUUAUCCCGCUGCCUGUUCUAAACUCACUCCCACAUCUGAUGCCAUAUUUUAUUGUUAUUUAAAACAAACGCUUUAUUACUUGGUUGAUACGAUACUUUUCCUGGAUUUACCGAUAUUUUCAAACAUCAAACAAAAUGUCGAAGUGG